AUCGGUCUUCACAGAUAGCGCUUCAGGUUUAUGGACGGCGUGUGAUUUACGGCCUCCGAACCUUUCGCACAUUCUCACAUGGAACCUGGAUCUGAAGAAUUCUGUUCAUGCUCCAAAGCGUCUGCAAGCAAUCACAAGCGCAGUGAUUGAUGGGCCAGAACAAAACAAUUCCCGUUGAUUGUCAUGUUGAAUUACAGGACAGGAAAAGAAAUAGAGACCGAGAGAGAGAGCGAGAGAGAGAGAGAGGUGCGGGAGAUGAGAAUGGAUCCGUGGUCACAUGGUUUAGUUCAGGUUGGGAUGGGAUACGCUUGGUUUGCAUGAAUCUUUCUGAUUUAUAUGAUGAACGUGUUAUUUCGCUGAUAUUCUCUGUAGGUUUGGAUUUUAUCUCUCUUGAUUUACACUGCACACUUCAACGCCAGCGCUGGAUACGCUCUCUUGCCCGCUACGUGUUGGGGUGGAUUAAGUUCUUGGGUUGGCGGUGCAGGUUUAAGCGUAAAUAAACUUCGGAUUUCCCACAAA